AUAUAGAAAAAUCCGUUUUUGUUAUGUAUUUUGUAAGAUAUUUUAAAUAAUGAGUCAGAUCUGAAGAGGGUUAAAAAGAAGUUAACAGACGUUAUUUAUCAACGUACUUUUUGUAUAAUGGCUUAUAGAGUAAGAAGAAAAAUUUCUUUUCCCGAAAACUUUAGAGCUAUUUUUUUUAAUGAUUUUAUUGCAAUAACAUGAAAAAUUAAAAAUAGGCGUGAUAUAUGUUACGAAAAGGUUGAUAUCUGGUUGAGCAGGAAAUGCAUUCAGUGCAGCGGUAACAAAGAUUACUUAUUGAGAAUUCAGUGUGAUUUUAUUACCAGUGAAGUAAAAGGGGGUAAGCUCUUUUGCAAAUAAGAAUUAAAAUUAAUUAAGUAGAAAUAAUAUUUUUAACCUUUUAAAAUUUUUCACAAAAUUUUUUUUUUUUUUUUUUUGUUUUUACUGCUUUUUUUGAAAUAACUUUUUUCUAAAAAUCAGUAUAAGAUUAGUACGACGGUGAAAUAAAUUCCCUUUUUAAAAUAAAGGGAGUGAUGAUAAUAAAGCACAAAUAUAAUAUAUUAUUGAGGAACUCGGCAAAUCCUCCCCCCGCCUGUUUAACAAAAACAUGUCUCUUUGAUGGUUAAUAAAAAGAGUCGGCCCUGCCCGGUGGGUAAGUAUACCUAAACGGUCGCAAUGAAGAGUUGUGCUAAGGUAGCGCAAUAAAUUGUCCUUUAAUUGGGGAAAUGAAUGAAGGGGUUGACGAGGGGGAAGCUGUCUUUUUAAUAUAGUUCGAAGUUUUCUUUUAUGUGAAAAGACUUAGAUUUUACAAUAAGAAGAGAAGACCCCGGCGAGCUUGUUAAGGUUUAAUAACGUUUAUUAAUUAUUGAUUUUUGUUGGGGCAACGCAAAGGGAAAAAAACUCCUUUGUAUUAAAUAAGGAUCCACUCAGAGUGAAUCAAGCAAAAGCUACCGUGGGGAUAACAGCGCAAUUUUUUCAGAGAGUUCAUAUCGAAGAGAAAGCUUGCGACCUCGAUGUUGGAUUAAGAUUUCCUUUUGGUGCAGGAGUUAAAAAGGUAGGACUGUUCGUCCUUUAAAAUCUUACAUGAUCUGAGUUCAGACCGGCGUGAGCUAGGUCGGUUUCUAUCUAUUAAUUACAAUUCGUCGUACGUAAGGAUCCGA
rnacentral:rRNA from 1 species